rnacentral:rRNA from 1 species
UACGUAGGGUGCAAGCGUUGUCCGGAAUUAUUGGGCGUAAAGAGCUCGUAGGCGGUCUGUCACGUCGGCUGUGAAAACCCGAGGCUCAACCUCGGGCCUGCAGUCGAUACGGGCAAACUAGAGUACUGCAGGGGAGACUGGAAUUCCUGGUGUAGCGGUGAAAUGCGCAGAUAUCAGGAGGAACACCGGUGGCGAAGGCGGGUCUCUGGGCCGGUACUGACGCUGGAGACGCGAAAGCGUGGGGAGCAAACAGG